UCUGAGUGGAUGUCCAACUUGUUGAUUCCCAGCGCUAAAAUCUGAGCAGCCCACUGCGCCGGCCAAAACAGCGGCUUUAUGAUAGAUGGUGCUUUUCUGACUCUGCACCAAGAACCGCCGUACGAAGGCAGCGGCAAAGCCGCCUUGCCGGCCACGAGAGUCGCGCUGGUGACCUGUGGGGCUCCUCCGCUGGGAAUCUCCUGGUGUGUGAGCAACAAAAAUUCAUCUGAAAGUGUGGCGUCCUCUCCUUCUCUGUGCUUUGACUGGGAGCCACAAUCCCGAGCUGCUAGUGAUCAGCCAUCCUGGAUCUCUCUCUUGAAAGAAGUAUUAAAGGGCACAACUUUUUAAAAUGCACAUUGGAAAAUAUUUGUAAAUUUCUUACAGGUAAAACCUUUUCAAUUUUUUAAAAUGCAGAGUUUUUUUUCCUAAUUAAUGUGAAAUAACACAGGAAAGGAAAUAAGCCCUGAAAAUAGGCUUUAUCUGAAAACUCAAAACUAAAGCAACUUAGAAUAAAUGGACAUCUUACUACUGCUGACAAUUUUCUAAAAAACUGAUGUAUCUUCUCUCAGUGGUGAGGCCUAAGAGGUAAAAAUGGAAAGGGAAAAGGAGAGCCAUCAGGAGUACGCAGGUCACUUGGAAAUUAGGUAAUAAGGGAAAAUGCCAAGAAGAAGUUUUUUUUAGUUUGUUGUUCUUCCAGUUUAUGUAUUGAGACAAGGUGCUCUUUAGCUUUGGGGCUAAUAAAUUUUGGUUUGAAAAAGAGAAUGAGUUGAAACUGGCCUAGAGAUUAAUUUUAGGAGGACUCUGAGGAAAGCAUAUUGGCAGUGAACAUGUGGUGACAAAAUGAGAAAUACUUCAACAGAAGAUGAAACAAAUUAUUAACGGACUUAAUACCCAUCCAGGCAGAAACAGCCACUUAGAUCUAAGAGUCUAAACUUUCCUCUCAAAUCUAGAAUAUCUUGAUGGAAAGGUGGGAGAUAAGGAGCUUAUUGGUAACAAAAUUGAGUUGGAUUUUGAGUUUGUUUGUCGCUGAUCUACUCAUACCCAUGAAAAUUAAAUGUAGGUUUAAAAAAUGACUCUAUCUCUUACUCUUCUUGUUUUGGCCACAUCUACAACUGAUGAAGGGACUUAGCCGUGUGGGUGAGGGAUGAGACUGAAGGGACUGCCUGCUGCACGAAUUCUCAGAAUCGUGCAUUAUAGUGACCUCAGCACAUUUUGGUAAAAAUCUAAAAUUUUAGGCUUUUCCCUGAAGCUUUUGAUAUUAUAGAUCUAAUAAGGCCUGAAUGUGUAUGUUUAAAAUGUUUUCUUGAAGCUGGGCACAGUGGCAUGUUUCUUUGGUCCCAGCUUGAGCCAGAGUUUGAGUCCAGCUUGAGCAACAUAGUGAGACUUCUCUCUCUAACCACAGUAACAG